CAGUUACAUUGGAUUCUAGUUGAUUGCAAUAUAGCCGACUGGACUGAAUUGGAAACAAAAUGUGGCAAAAAACCUGUCAUGAACAAGAACAUCUCUGUGUUGCUCUUGUUAUGCUUGGUGACCACAAGGAUCGAGAGCUUCAGUCUUCCAGAGUGUACCGGCUUUGAGGUUGUAUGGG